rnacentral:rRNA from 1 species
GACGUAGGGCGCGAGCGUUGUCCGGAUUUAUUGGGCGUAAAGAGCUCGUAGGCGGCUUGUCGCGUCGACUGUGAAAACCCGUGGCUCAACCAUGUGGUCUGCAGUCGAUACGGGCAGGCUAGAAUUCGGUAGGGGAGACUGGAAUUCCUGGUGUAGCGGUGAAAUGCGCAGAUAUCAGGAGGAACACCGGUGGCGAAGGCUGGUCUCUGGGCCGAUAUUGACGCUGAGGAGCGAAAGCGUGGGGAGCGAACAGG